AUUGAACGCUGGCGGCAGGCCUAACACAUGCAAGUCGAACGGUAACAGGAAACAGCUUGCUGUUUCGCUGACGAGUGGCGGACGGGUGAGUGAUGUCUGGGAAACUGCCUGAUGGAGGGGGAUAACUACUGGAAACGGUAGCUAAUACCGCAUAACGUCGCAAGACCAAAGAGGGGGACCUUCGGGCCUCUUGCCAUCGGAUGUGCGCAGAUGGGAUUAGCUAGUAGGUGGGGUAACGGCUCACCUAGGCGACGAGCCCUAGCUGGUCUGAGAGGAUGACCAGCCACACUGGAACUGAGACACGGUCCAGACUCCUACGGGAGGCAGCAGUGGGGAAUAUUGCACAAUGGGCGCAAGCCUGAUGCAGCCAUGCCGCGUGUAUGAAGAAGGCCUUCUGGGUGUAAAGUACUUUCAGCGGGGAGGAAGGGAGUAAAGUUAAUACCUUUACUCAUUGACGUUACCCGCAGAAGAAGCACCGGCUAACUCCGUG
rnacentral:rRNA from 1 species